rnacentral:rRNA from 1 species
AUACGGGGGAUGCAAGCGUUAUCCGGAUUUAUUGGGUUUAAAGGGUGCGUAGGCGGUUUGAUAAGUCAGCGGUGAAAUAUUUCAGCUUAACUGAAAGGGUGCCGUUGAUACUGUCAGGCUUGAAUAUGGUUGCUGUGGGUGGAAUGUGUGGUGUAGCGGUGAAAUGCUUAGAUAUCACACAGAAUAUCGAUUGCGAAGGCAGCUCACAAAGCCAUUAUUGACGCUGAUGCACGAAAGUGU